rnacentral:lncRNA from 10 species
CUUUGAUAUCAGGAGUGAUGCAAUGAUGUUCGUUUUCACCUUCCUUAUUCAACAUUAUAUUGCAGGUCUUAUAUAGUCCAGGGCAAGAGGCAGAGGAGGAUAAAAUAAUUGAAAAUGAAUAUAUAGGAUAAUCUUGUAGUUCAUAAGCAUGAUGAUUGCCUUUUCACACUCGUAUGAGAUGUGCCUCCCUUGAACCUUGUUAUGAUGUUGGCACAUUACCCAUCUCUCCUUAAUUCUCUUUCUGUUGCAGCUCCACUUCGGGAGGAAGUCCCUCCCAGCUGCACUUUCAGGGUUCUCACAGGUUAGCCAGACUGCAGAAGCUGCCCCCAAGAAGCACUGGGGCCUCCCCUCCUCCACAGACUGGACUUUCCUCUCUUGCUUCUCACCCAAAGGGCCCAGAGCUGGCUUCUCCAGCCAAGUUUCUCCAGGAGCCCUGCUGAUUUGAGCAGCCACAAAUUGACCUUCUCUCAGGGUGUCUCCUUGCCUUCCUCCUGGUGUUAAUAUGCACCUUAAAGAGCUGCAAAC